CUGGGCGAGGUGAAGGUAAUAACCGGAUCCGUGCUCGGUCCCGUGCCUUGGCCUCCCGCGGAUCUGCCUCGCUGCGAGGCUUCCGUGACGGCUUGCCGUCGCGGUCGUCCUCUUCGGCCGCUAUUUAACGGUCAGCUCAGAACUGGCACGGACUGGGGGAAUCCGACUGUCUAAUUAAAACAAAGCAUUGCGAUGGCCCUAGCGGGUGUUGACGCAAUGUGAUUUCUGCCCAGUGCUCUGAAUGUCAACGUGAAGAAAUUCAAGCAAGCGCGGGUAAACGGCGGGAGUAACUAUGACUCUCUUAAGGCUAGUUACGGGUGGUUGAUGCGUAAUACAUGCCCCUUGUUGGGCACUUCAGCCUCUCACCACCAAGUGCCGACCGAUACCUCUUCGUGGUUCCUGCUAUCAACGUCUCCUCAGAGACGGCUAAAUUCGGUCGGGGCGAAGCGGGCACUGGGGAUACCUCCCCCUUUGCCUCUGAAUAAGCUGGUCCCGUUAAUACAAGAAAUACGCGAAAGGCGUCAAAAGCCAGCACGUCCGCUGACGUUGCUGAGCCAGCUCAAGGGGCGAGCACACUUGAAAAUCCUAUUGAAGUUGAUGAGAUCGGGGGAAACCUGUUUGUCUGUGGGUUUCAGGGUUGUGGUAUGGCUUUUAAGAAAAAGACUGGCCGUGGUGUGCAUGAACAGCGGAAGCACAAAGCAUGGUACGAUGAGCAACAGGCGCUGAAAGGUAGUGGGAACAGGCCUCGUUGGACUGAAGAGGAGAAAGAAAUGAUGGCUAGAAAGGAAGCGGAGAUAAUUCUUGGACAUGAGAUUGAGGGCAAGAAACCGUUUGUGAACCAAGAACUACUGAAGUUCUUUAAUGGUCUGGGGCUUGACCCUGACAAGGACAGAUCAGUGGAGGCAAUUAAAGGGCAUCGGCGCAGACCGAGCUAUAAGAAGAGAGUUGACAAAUUUCUUAACAUCCUGAGAGCGGAAAGAGAGCGCCGUUCCAUGUACUCUAGUGAGGACUCCGACUGCCUCGGCGCGGGCGAAGAUCUUGAGCCGGCUGUGAGUGAUAGAUGGAUAGAGUACUUCGACUCUUUAACCCCACUCAGUGGUUCCGAGUUCAACACGAGCCGAUUGAACACCUUAUGCUUCUCAGCAUCCACUAGGACUCGUGAGGAAUUGACGGUAGAGUUGGGCCUAUACCUUCGGGAAACUUUUGCCAGCAAACCGCGUCAUAGAGCGCGCGAGACUCGGGGCACCCAGAGUAGUAUGGGGCCUAUCAGCAAAAAAAGAGCUCGCAGAGCUGAAUUCGCUAGAGUCCAAGACCUUUGGAACAAAGAUCCCAGCAAAUGUGUGAAGCGGAUUCUCGACGAUCAGCUGGAGCACGAAGAGGGCGUCCCUCAAGAGCGGAUGGUACCAUACUGGAGAACAGUUAUGACCAAGAACACCGGGCUAGCCCCAGCGGGUCUGGCAGAACCUGCGGUGUCUCACGAACACCUAUGGGACCCUAUUGUUCCGCAAGAGAUCAAAGUGGCGUUUCCCCCAGCGAAGACUGCGGUCGGUCCAGACGGCGUUGCAGCUGCAACACUCAAGAAGGUCCCUCUUGAACUCCUAUCCAGGUUGUUCAACUUAUUCAUGUACUGCGGUAGGGUGCCCGAACAGCUCAAUCUGUCACGUACGGUCCUUAUACCCAAAAAGAAAGGCUCCAGGGAUCCCGGAGACUAUAGACCAAUUACAGUCUCGUCAGUGAUACUAAGAACUUAUCACAAAGUACUGGCUAACAGAAUGAAGGAAGUUGAACUUGAUCCAAGGCAGCGUGGAUUCAUUGACACCGAUGGGUGCGCCGAUAACACGGUGCUGCUGGACAUCGUGCUUCGCUACCAUCGAGAAAAGCACAAAAGCAUGUACCUGGCCUCACUGGACAUGAGAAAAGCUUUUGAUUCAGUAACAUUCGAAUCUUUACAGGAAGUCCUAAGGGCCAAGGGCCUGCCAGGGGCAAUGGUGGAUUAUAUUAUCAGUUGCUACGAGGCUAAUAAAACCAUCCUGCAGCAUGCGGAGUGGGAGUCAAACCCAAUACACCCAACUUGUGGGGUGAAACAGGGUGACCCGCUGUCACCCUACUUGUUCAAUUUUGUCAUGGAUGAAAUGAUCAGAUCUCUUCCAUCUGAGAUCGGUGUGAAUAUGGAGGGGCUCAAGUUGAACAUUUUGGCUUUUGCAGAUGACUUAAUCCUGGUCGCACAAACUAAGACUGGCUUGCAAAGGCUGAUUAGCGCAACAGCUGAUUUCCUCUACUGUUGUGGUCUGGAAGCAAACUCUGGCAAAUGUUUUUCGGUUGCAUUAAGAUCUGUACCUAAGGAGAAAAAGACGUAUGUGGACAAGAAUUGUACCUUUGUUAUUCGAGGAGCCGCCAUGCCGGCGCUGAGUCGAGUUGAUGACUGGAAAUACCUGGGCAUCCCAUUUACGCCAGAAGGCAGGCUGGUGGUCAAUGUUGUCGGAAUGCUGGGAGACAAGUU
rnacentral:rRNA from 1 species